CUCUGCAGAUAAACCUCUGAACUUGGACUGCACUAGUCAAGGACAGCAACUGUCAUGUUUUCCAGAUCCCCUACUCAUCCUUGUUGUUCUUCUCUGGACUCUCCAAUUUGUCCUGAAAUGUGGCGCCCAGGACUGGACACACUACACCAGUUGAGGUCUAAUUAGCGCAAUGCAGACUGGAAGAAUUACUUCUCGUCUUUUCUUUCAACACUCCUGCCAAUACAUCCCAGAAUAGGCACUAUAUGUGCUCUUUUCCAGUCUUCUUGAAUGCCUCCUGUCUUCCAUGAUUUUUCAAAGAUAAUAGCUAAUGGCGCGGCUACCGCCUCAGUAAGUUCCUUGAGUAGUCUAGGAUGCAUUUCGUGAGCCCCUGGUGACUUGAAGACAUCUAACUUGACCAGUAAAUCAGUGAACAAAAGAAGAUAAGAAUGACCAAAAGUUCACCUAGCCCAGUAGUCUGUGUUCUGACAGUGGCCAGUGCCAGUUGCCUCAGAGGGAAUGAACAGAACAGUUGAUAAAAGGGACCUGCAAUGGAAGAAAAUGGAAUGAAAUCCCUGUGGUACCCACUUAAACCCAAAGAGGAUCUAAAGGGGUCCUGUGGCAAAGGCAAGGUUUGGAUUUCAUUUACUUUGUGUUGCACCAGGGUUCUACCCCGUUUUGAUUGGCUGAGGCCCAAGAAAAAGACACGAUUGGCCAUUAGCUAUUAUAGUCCUGGGAGAGCUAAGGCUGGAUUUGGAGCUCUAAAGGUAAAUACUGACCAGGAACUAAAGGGACCAGUAGAGACACACUCUGCAAAAGCUUCAGACGACGUGGCGGUACUGAAGGUGUUACAGGUGGAGAACCAGAAAGUCUCCCUGGCAAUAUUUACCAAUUUGGACUGAGUGUUCAGAGCUCACACCUACUAAAGGAGCCCAUUGCUCACCAAAAGAUUGAUGGUCUGUGACGCUCUGUACCUCGGGGGAAACCCCAGAACUCCCAUAUUCAGCCUUGUUCUUUUGGUAGUUCUACCACUGAUCAACCUAGCUGGCCACGAGAUUAGUCUGGACUCUGGACUGG